GAUGAGCUCGCGGCCUAUCAGCUUGUUGGUGGGGUGAUGGCCUACCAAGGCGACGACGGGUAGCCGGCCUGAGAGGGUGACCGGCCACACUGGGACUGAGACACGGCCCAGACUCCUACGGGAGGCAGCAGUGGGGAAUAUUGGACAAUGGGCGAAAGCCUGAUCCAGCAACGCCGCGUGAGGGAUGACGGCCUUCGGGUUGUAAACCUCUUUCAGUAGGGACGAAGCGUGAGUGACGGUACCUACAGAAGAAGGACCGGCCAACUACGUGCCAGCAGCCGCGGUAAUACGUAGGGUCCGAGCGUUGUCCGGAAUUAUUGGGCGUAAAGGGCUCGUAGGCGGUUUGUCGCGUCGGGAGUGAAAACUUGGGGCUUAACCCCAUUCGUGCUUCCGAUACGGGCAGACUAGAGGCAGGCAGGGGAGAACGGAAUUCCUGGUGUAGCGGUGGAAUGCGCAGAUAUCAGGAGGAACACCGGUGGCGAAGGCGGUUCUCUGGGCCUGUUCUGACGCUGAGGAGCGAAAGCAUGGGGAGCGAACAGGAUUAGAUACCCUGGUAGUCCAUGCCGUAAACGUUGGGCGCUAGGUGUGGGAUCCAUUCCACG
rnacentral:rRNA from 1 species